rnacentral:lncRNA from 1 species
GCAAUAUUUCUUGGCACUGUCUCUAACUUUGAACUUGUUUCUUACUCCUGUUCUUUUGAUUCUGAUUUCGUUUAGAAAAUAGAUCGAAAUGAAAACUUUUGGGCAAUUUAAAAACCCGAAUUUUCUAAUAUAACUGAACACGCUAGAAUGAUGAAAACGAAAACGUGCGAAAGCCAUUACAAGUCCUUUUUUUUUAAGGCAGUUCAUUUUGAAGGGCGAAUCUUCUCUAAUUACUCGCUAAUGAAAAUAAAAGCAGUCCAUUGCGGGAUAAAUCGCGAUAGCAAGACCCUUUCUACCAGCGAAAACAAGGUUAACUCUGCGGGGCCCCUCUUUUGUGUGACACCCGGAAAAAUUGCCCCUUUGGCCUUCUGGGCGUUCUGAAUAUUUACCAAGACUUUUAAUAUUCUCCACCUGUAACAAAUGUAAACAUUCUGGUAAUUGCGAAUGAAAUUUCCACAUCAACUUUUUCGUCAUUUAAACUGGGAUUUACCAAAAAAAAUAAAAACUCGGAGCGAGUAACUGUUAGUAAUUGGGGUUUCAAACUUCAACCUUCCUCCCUCCGCCAAUUAGCCCGAUCCUGUGGCACUCCAACCGGACUCUUGUUAGAUCCCAGAGCACUUGGCCGUGUAAAGGGAUUUAGCAAAAAGGAUUCCAAAGUAUGUUUGUUCUGCAGCAGGCACAUUUUUCAAGAGUUUAAUCGGAAUAGCCAUGCCAAGUGCUGCUGCUGCUGCUGCUGCAGCUCGUUGCUACACAGUGACAAAUAGCGUCAAUAGCGAUUGCUCGACCCCUACCGCACUCAGGGUGUGGACUGUCAGGCAGUUCAGAAUAUCCCACCCGUCGAAAUAAGGGGGAACACCCUGACGCCUUAACUGUCGCACAUCCGACGCAAAAUACCAGACAUUAUGCAAUCUGUUUGCGUCAGGAGUUUGCAUUCUAAACUUCCCACGCCGAUAAUAUCCGAUAACCGUGCCUUUUGGACGUUAUUUAUGCACUUGACUGCAAAGAAAAAGUACCUUUUCGAACUCGAGAAAGAGUUCGAAGAGCAGUAGAUAUGUAGAAAUUACAGAUAUGAAGCGAAGCAGUAGACGGAGAGGCUGAUAUGGCUGGAAGGGAAACGGCACAAAACAGGUCUGUGUUGUGAUUAAAUGGCCAGUAACUUUUAUUGCAUGUAAGCACGCAAAAGUUGCCAGAAUGCAGCGCUGCUGAUGGAAAGAGGCCCUGACUAUUGUAAUGACGUCGAAACGCUAUUAUAGUGGAAACGCUUGUCUAGUUUUUACUUGUCGGUAAUUAUAAAAAAUUGAAUCAUUGACAAGCAAAGGUUUACUUUAUCGAUAAACAAGCUCGACUGCACCUAAUUAUUACAUCAAAAGAGGAGAAGGCAAAGAGAAAGAUCUCAAUAACUGCACCCCUUACCGAAUUUCUGUUAAGAGAGUCGUAGGAGAACCAUCCCCCAAUUAAAUUUUCUUUCUAAGUACAUUUUACACCCCAGCGAUUUUCAAUCGGCCGGGUAAAACAGGAUAGAAGGUCAAACUGUGGGAAACUAGCAGACUGCAGUACCUUUUUUUUUUUUUUCAUAAACUACUCAUCUUCUGGUUGUGAUGAAGCCAUCAGGUUAUUUGCGACCUUCUCAAUUCAGACAAAGACUUCUCCUUCUGGGGAGCUAAGUCAGUCGGGGUUAAGGAUAAUAAAUCGCAACACGUUCCUGAAGGAGAUGGAGUUGCACUCGUUAACACUCCUCACCUGAUAAGUCAGAAGGGAUGGUUGUUCUACUUGUCCGGAUAGUUGUGGUCAAUGCUAAUAAUCUUAUUUAUGGCUUUUAUAACACUUAAUUGAAUGGGACGCUAACAAAUUAUUUAUCUUACUUCAUUAAAAUGAUUUAGACACGUCUGUUCUACUUUAUAAAAUUAAUGACCCUCCAAACUACGGAGGACACAAAAUCGACUUGGAGACGGGUCCGGUUUCGCUUUUUUCGAUAAUAUACAAGACCUAAGUAAAGAGCAAUUUUUUAUACUCGGUUUAAAUUGGCCUAGACCAACUCCUCGACUUAGAACCAAAGGCGGUACGUCACUGGGAUAAUUCCAUUCCGACUCUCACCUCUCAUGAUAUUGACCACGUGUGAGAUUUAGGAGUGCAGAGUGACAAAUAUAUGGUCUUCUGAGACCGGUCACUUCACAAACCGCAAUUAGUCUAAGACUACAGAUGUUGAUGAUGUAUGAGUUGCCACGGGGGACAACUAACAUCACACCUAUAAAUUAGCUGUUCUAUAUAAACACAAGUAACGAAGAACAACACCGAAAAAAAAAUAUGAUCACUUUUAAUCAACUAAUCACGAAUUUCGACCCCCCCCGUAAAGUCUACCGAAAGCAUUGGUUACGACUGUUCCUCCCGCUUGGGUAGUCAAGAUUAAAACACCUAUUAGGAGGUCCUCUCCACUAAACAAUUUAAAAGAUUCAAUAUAGACCAUUGAAAGAAUCUCCUUUCUCUGUUGUACACGCUGCUUACCUACCUUUAAAGGUGCUCGAAAAGCCGAUACCUGACAUUAUUAGAAACCAGGUACAAACUCGAAAUCUGUUUUUAAAGUUACGCACUGUACCGUAUAAAAAAUGGCACGAAUACAAGUAUGUAAUCUAUACAGAAUAUUUGUUAUUUUCUAUACACGAAGGAGAGAGAGAGAUAUCAAUAACUCGGCAAACUAGCUGCCAGAGUGGGAUUUAUUAGGACUCUAAUUAAUUUUUUGAGUUUAUGAGUCAUCGGGGAUUCCUGACAAGUCUAUAAAUAAUUAAUAUCAUAAAUAAUGGAUAUGUAUUUACGAACUUUGCUUCUGUUUGCCUCAAGUUACAAGUCUACAGAAUUGGAAAAAUAUUAAUCCGGGGGUUAAAAGGCAACAACAACCGACUUCUCGCCAUUUUCGAACAAUCGCAUUUGUAGUGCACCAAUGUCGAACAGAAUGCAGAAAAAAAAAAAAUCUUUUGGAGAUAUACAGUACGUUAUUUGGAAAACUAUACAAACCGUUCGAUAUAUUAAGAGAAGUUAAUGCAGAAAUAAUCUUGACUAGUAAAGAUAUAAGUCCAGAAAACAGCAAUUGAGAAAAUUGUUUUUUAAUACAUUAAUGUUAUACAACAUAUUCAGAAGCUAUAAAAAUGGGUGUCUGACCUAGAAAAAACGUAGCAACGAGUAAAUCCUUU